CUACGGAGGGUGCAAGCGUUAUUCGGAAUCACUGGGCGUAAAGGACGCGUAGGCGGGUUUGUAAGUCAGGUGUGAAAUCCUACAGCUUAACUGUAGAACUGCACUUGAAACUACAGACCUAGAGUAUGGGAGGGGCAGAUGGAAUUAGUGGUGUAGGGGUAAAAUCCGUAGAUAUCACUAGGAAUACCGAAAGCGAAGGCGAUCUGCUGGAACAUAACUGACGCUAAGGCGUGAAAGCGUGGGGAGCAAACAGGAGUAGAAACCCUUGUAGUCC
rnacentral:rRNA from 1 species